GAACAGAUGAAAGAAACGAUCAAGAACCAGGAAAAACUCUCCAAACUGCAGGCACAAAUGCACAUUGGUGGGAAAGGAACCGGUUGUAGAAAGAAGAUGGUUCAUAGAACACUCACAGCAGACGAUAAAAAACUGCAGUUCUCCUUAAAGAAAUUAGGGGUAAACGACAUCUCCGGUGUUGAAGAGGUGAACACGUUUACAAACCAAGGAACAGUGAUCCAUGUUAACACCACCAUCAGGCUUCUCUGGCAGCAAACGUCUUCCAGGCCACUCUGAGUCAAAGCAGCCGACAGACUUGCUGCCCCGCGUCUUUAACCAGCUUGGUGCAAGCAGUCUGACUAGUGUAAGGAGACUGGCGAUCUGCCCAAACACUCUGUGGAUGGAAAAGCACCACUUGCUCCUGGAGAGGAAGCUGAGGAUGACGUUCCCGAUCUGGCGGAGAAUUUUGAUGAGGCUUCGAAGAAUCGAGGCAAACUGA
rnacentral:lncRNA from 1 species